rnacentral:rRNA from 1 species
UCNAGCGGAAACGAGUUAUCUGAACCUUCGGGGAACGAUAACGGCGUCGAGCGGCGGACGGGUGAGUAAUGCCUAGGAAAUUGCCCUGAUGUGGGGGAUAACCAUUGGAAACGAUGGCUAAUACCGCAUAAUACCUACGGGUCAAAGAGGGGGACCUUCGGGCCUCUCGCGUCAGGAUAUGCCUAGGUGGGAUUAGCUAGUUGGUGAGGUAAUGGCUCACCAAGGCGACGAUCCCUAGCUGGUCUGAGAGGAUGAUCAGCCACACUGGAACUGAGACACGGUCCAGACUCCUACGGGAGGCAGCAGUGGGGAAUAUUGCACAAUGGGCGCAAGCCUGAUGCAGCCAUGCCGCGUGUGUGAAGAAGGCCUUCGGGUUGUAAAGCACUUUCAGUCGUGAGGAAGGUAGUGUAGUUAAUAGCUGCAUUAUUUGACGUUAGCGACAGAAGAAGCACCGGCUAACUCCGUGCCAGCAGCCGCGGUAAUACGGAGGGUGCGAGCGUUAAUCGGAAUUACUGGGCGUAAAGCGCAUGCAGGUGGUUUGUUAAGUCAGAUGUGAAAGCCCGGGGCUCANCCUCGGAAUAGCAUUUGACACUGGCAGACUAGAGUACUGUAGAGGGGGG